UCAAUGCAGCUGAGUGACCAGAAGGGCUGGAGCCGGGAUCCAUCUCUUACAGACCUCAUUUAAGGGUUGGCAGUGAAGACAAAGGGAUUUUGUUUGGGGGUUGAUGCCUGCUUGAGGCCUUUUGAAGUGUUGUUGGAAUGAGAACAGCUGUGAUUGGACACAUUACUAUCAGCACGUUCUCUGGAGGGUCUGUACUUGGGGUCUUAUAACAGCCUACUUCCAGUUUUCUUUCUCCAAGUCAGCUGUGCCAGCUACUGUAGUUUAAGAACAGAGAAGAAGCAUAGCAUGCCAAAAUUAACAGGCUUUAUAGGAGCACCCAGAAAGCCAAGAAACCAAAACAACAGGUAUGUGUAUAAUCAGUUUUCUAUACGAAGUACACUAAUUAAGGCAUAGCCCUUCAGGGCUAGCUAGUAAUGAGUAGAAAUAGUUUUUACUGCUUUCAGAUCAGAUGGAACUUUCUUGUUCAAACUCUGGCAUUAAAUCAGUUGCAAUCUAAAGACAAAAACAAAUAUAUCAGUUGUAAGCAUUAACAUUGUACAAAGAAGGAAAAAACGUAUAAUACAGACUAGUCUUCAUUCAUAGAAAUAUGCAUUCUUCCAUUCAGUUAAAUAUGAUGAAGCUUUAUCACUAGUCUGAUUCUCAGAUUCAGUAAGUUUGGAUGAUGUGUUAGGUCUCUGAGAACAGACUAGUCUCAAUGCUAAAGGUGAACGUAGUUUCAUUUCAUUGAUCUAUUCUCAAUUCAUAUUUUAAUACAAAAAUUUUAGCACUGCAAAACCUGCAAUGACAUCACCAACAGAUUUAUGUAAUCCAACUUUAGACAACUUGGGGCAUGAAAACUUCAUGGAUGAUGCAGAAGACAAGAGAAGGUCAUCUGAGCCAACGUGACUUCAGCAAGGGCAGAUUGUGCCUCACCCAUCUGGUGGCCUUCUAUGAUCAGUGGAUAAAGGAAAGGUGGUAGAGAUUCAUGCACCUAAACUGCUGCAAGGCCUUUGAUACGGUCCUGCAUCACAUUCCUGCCUCUAAAUGGGAAAGGUAUGGUUUGGAUGAGUGGACUGUUCAGUGGAUAAGCAAUUGGUCGGGUGGUUAUUGGCAGAGGGUGGUCUCUGUCCAGGUGGAGGCCCCUCAGAGGUCCAUCUUGGGACCAGCACUCCUCAUCAUUAUCAAUGACCAGGACGGCACUAUCCAGUGCACUCUCUGCAAAUCAGCAGGUGACACUAAGCUGAGUGGUGCAUUGAUGGAACAUAAGUAAGGGAUGCCAUCCAGAGGGAUCUGGACAAGUGUGAGAAGCGGGCCAACAUGUACCUAAUGAGGUUCAAUAAAGCCAGAGUAGGGGCAAUCUCGGGUAGAACUGACUGAGAGCUACCCUGGGGAGAAGGACUUGGGGGUUCUGGUGGAUGAAAAGCUUGAUGCAGUCAGCAGUGUGUGUUUGCAGCUCAGAAGGCCAAGUGCAUCGUGGGCUGCAUCAAAAGAGGAGUGAUCACCAGAGUGAGUGAGGUGAUAGUUCCUUUCUGCUCCACCCUUGUGGGCCCCAUCUGGGGUCCUGCAUCUGUGGCAGAGUUGCUGAAACUAGAUGGCUUUUAAGGUCCCUUCCCUUAAUGGGAACCCAUUUUAUGGUUCUUUGAUUCAUUUGCACUUCUGAUUUUGCAAUUCAUUUAUUUAAGGACACAAAAUAGUCCUGAAGCCUCACGUACAGUUUUUAAUAUUCAGUUGCCAGUAAACUAUAAAAAAUAGGGCUAGGUGGGACUUAAAGGUCCCAUCACAUUUACCUCUUAGCAAAAUCAAAAUAAUUGUGAAAACUUGAUCCUAGGUAUAGUCAUAAAUAUAUUCACAAAUGUUUUUGAAGAACCUUUAUAAAACAAGUUGUUAAUAAAGCAACCCUAAGCUUAAAGCACGUUAAUACCACGUUUAAGUUCUGAGUUGGAAUGAAACUGAUAAUGUCAGAAAACAAGUGAGCAGAUGGCUAAGGUUAAUAAAGGAAAAAGGGUUCAGAUGUAGUAUUAAAACCAAUCCAGCAAAAUUCCAAUUCACACUAUCGAGACUGUAGCUGAAAAAAGAUAGAUGCAUCAAUUUUUAUCUCCAGUGAUGUGCAUAAAAGGCAUCAUCUGUUAAACGUACUGCCACGUUUACAGUCAGUGGUGGUUGAUUUAUACCCUCUCAUGUACUAGCAUUAUCAAGCACAAAGUGGUUAAAAAAAAUAAAUAAAUAAGGUGUAGAAGAUGCUUGCAUAUCACAAUUUAGAUUCUUAGUUGCAGUGCUGUGCAGAGUAAGUACUGUUACGCUGGCACGGGGCUCAGAUAACAUGAUUCUUAGCAGGUCUUUGCUGCACUGAGCACUGUGUGUGCUUGGUAUCUGGUCUUUUACAUGAAAUAGUUGUUCUGAUAACUGUGCAGCAGAGUGCAUUCUGCUGCACAAACAAUAUACUUCAGACCAAUCAGAAAAACCUAGAUAAUUUCAGUCAGAAGCAAGUCAGUGAUUUAGUCCAUGUUCUGUAUGAUACCUGCUCAAAAGGCAAAGUAAGGUUGCUUCCUCUCUGAGAAUAUUAAUACUUCCAGUCGUGACACACAACACCAUCGAGGGGCAUUUUAAGUCUUGGGGAUUUAUUCGCUCAGCAUCACAUGGUGGUGUCUCAGACUGCACCAGACAACAGGCUAAGGACAGCGUGAAGACCGUGGUCAAAAUAAUAUCCCUUAAAAUUAUAGGAACGAACCAGCAGAGGGUUAACUAGAACAGCAAGCAAAUAUCCCAUAAUUAAUUAUUUGUAAUCUGUUUCCCAACACUUAGCUCAGACAGUCCAUUCUCAUCUACAUCUUCAACCGUGGACAAACUAGGUGCCCCUCCUCUACCUGUAAGUUCAGCUUACAUAACUUACAUUUUCCUAUGGUCUUCUCAUUUUCCCAUGGUAAUGGAAAUACGUUUUCAGUUAAAAGUAUUCUGUGUCAUGAGUAAUCAUCUACAGUGGAUACUUUAAAUACACUAAAACAUCUUUUACGUAUUAAUGUAAAAACAGUACUUCAGAUGCAUACCACAUGAAUGUUAGCGUGUGAAUGGGGUCUUUGUAUGCCUGUCAAGACUAUUUCUUGAGGUUUUCUUUUAAAUUAUAGGAUUCUUUUUUCUUCUAUUUAUAUACGUACAUACUUCUGUUACAUUUACACUGCCAUUUUUCUAGUUACAUGCUAUCAGUAUUUCAACACAGAGCUCUAAAAAUAUCUCUGAACUGUUGUGCUCCGUGUAAAGUUAAGAAAUAUUUCACUAUUUCAAUAUUCCAUAUUGAAAAUUCAAAUAUAAAACCUAGACUGAAAGGAAGCAUUACACAUCCUUCCCUGAUGUUUGCUUUUUUUUUUUCUUUGCGUUAGUUCAACUUUUGCUUCUAGGUUUCUGCCUUGUGUUCUGUAUUUAGUGACUGGCUGG